rnacentral:rRNA from 1 species
ACGGAAGGCAGCAGUGGGGAAUAUUGCACAAUGGGGGAAACCCUGAUGCAGCGACGCCGCGUGAAGGAAGAAGUAUCUCGGUAUGUAAACUUCUAUCAGCAGGGAAGAAAGUGACGGUACCUGACUAAGAAGCCCCGGCUAACUACGUGCCAGCAGCCGCGGUAAUACGUAGGGGGCAAGCGUUAUCCGGAUUUACUGGGUGUAAAGGGAGCGUAGACGGCAAGACAAGUCUGAAGUGAAAGGCAUGGGCGCAACCUGUGGACUGCUUUGGAAACUGCCUUGCUUGAGUGCCGGAGGGGUAAGCGGAAUUCCUAGUGUAGCGGUGAAAUGCGUAGAUAUUAGGAGGAACACCAGUGGCGAAGGCGGCUUACUGGACGGUAACUGACGUUGAGGCUCGAAAGCGUGGGGAGCAAACAGGAUUAGAUACCCUGGUA